ACUCCUUAGACUGCUCCAAAACUAUUGUUGUUCAGUUCUGAGAUUUUUCUAUUUAUAUCAUGAUAACAUCAUAUGCAGGCUUAUUCUGAAGCUUUGUGUGAUUUUUGGAAACAUUUGUUUAAGCUAAAUGAAAGAAGAAAAGAAAACAACAUAAUUGUUCAUUCUAAUCCAGUUAACAAAGUGGUUUGAUAUUUCGGAAAGGAAACUGACAGAAUGAUCUUGGUAAAGCAUUAGAAGAACUUAAGAAUACAGAUUUGAAGAAUUGAACACAAAAAAUCAGGAAUGGACACCAGGUGAAUGUGUUCUGGAAUUUUUUUCAGUUCCACUGAUUUUUAAUUCUAUUCACUCAGACUUAAAUAAUCUUUGCAUGGUGGUGUGAUAGUCCAGAAGAUUUUGUGGCAAAGCAUAGAAAUGCUUUAGAAAGUUCUCAUGUAUCUGAGCCACUUCAUCACUGGAUUGAUUUAACUUUUGGUUGUAAAAAAUGAGGAGCCCAUACAAAUUGAAGAAGAAAUAUUCGAAAAGGAUGUCUCGAUACAAAUGUAUUAGAUGGAGGUCCAACUGUUGAAAAUAAAGAAAUAGAUUUGAGUGAAGAGAAGCUAAGAUGUUGAGUAUUAGCUGCAAAUGGUUAACUGGUGAUUUAAAUGCCUGUUGGAUUGCUUAUCUAGUAUAGCAUCACUUUUUGGAGAACAGUUUCUGAUGCUUCAGUAUAUAAAGCAUAUAUAGAUGAUUUAAUAUUUUGUAUAAUCCUGUAAGGUUUGUCUCUGGUGAAGAAGGAAAGAGAAGUAAUAUUGUUUUUAUGAAUGUUAAUAAAUAAUGUAAUAAAUGUUUAAUUUUUAAA
rnacentral:lncRNA from 1 species